rnacentral:rRNA from 1 species
CCUACGGGUGGCAGCAGUGAGGAAUAUUGGUCAAUGGUCGGGAGACUGAACCAGCCAAGCCGCGUGCGGGAAGAAGGUACUAUGAGUUGUAAACUGCUUUUGUAAGGGGGCAAAGGCGGAGACGCGUAUCUGGCUGAAAGUAUCGGAAGAAAAAGGAUCGGCUAACUCCGGGCCAGCAGCCGCGGGAAUACGGAGGAUUCAAGCGUUAUCCGGAUUUAUUGGGUUUAAAGGGAGCGUAGGCGGUCGUAUAAGUUAGAGGUGAAAGCCCGGGGCUCAACCUCGGAACUGCCUCUGAUACUGUCCGGCUAGAGAGUAGGUGCGGUAGGCGGAAUGUAUGGUGUAGCGGUGAAAUGCUUAGAGAUCAUACAGAACACCGAUUGCGAAGGCAGCUUACC